ensembl:snRNA U6 U6 spliceosomal RNA
GUCCCCACUUUGGCAGCACAUACUAGAACCAGAACAAUACAGAGAUUAUCAUGGCCCCCGAUUAAGGAUGAUAUGCUAAUUUGUGAAAUGUUCCAUACUUUA